rnacentral:rRNA from 1 species
AGUGAACGCUGGCGGCAGGCCUAACACAUGCAAGUCGAGCGGAUGAACGGUGAGUGCUUGUGGAUACAGCGGGGGACGGGCGGGCGAGGGCUGAGAACAUGGGUGUUUGUGUGUGAGUGGGGGCGGAAGUGGGGGCUAUUACCGUAUACCCCCUUACGGCGUACGGGGGGGAGCAGCGGACCUCACGCUCUCGGGUGAUCGUAUGUGGCGAUGUCGGAUUAGCUAGUUGGCGGGGUAAAGGCCCACCAAGGCGACGAUCCGUAGCUGGUCUGAGAGGAUGAUCAGCCACACUGGAACUGAGACACGGUCCAGACUCCUACGGGAGGCAGCAGUGGGGAAUAUUGGACAAUGGGCGCAAGCCUGAUCCAGCCAUACCGCGUGGGUGAAGAAGGCCUUCGGGUUGUAAAGCCCUUUUGUUGGGAAAGAAAAGCAGCAGGUUAAUACCCCGCUGUUCUGACGGUACCCAAAGAAUAAGCACCGGCUAACUUCGUG